rnacentral:sRNA from 1 species
GCUGGGCGUGGUGACACAUACCUGUAAUCCCAACAGCUUGGGAGGCUGAGGCAGGAGGAUUGCAAGAUCAAAGCCUCAGCAAUAUAGUGAGACCCUUUCUCUA